AGAGUUUGAUCCUGGCUCAGAGUGAACGCUGGCGGCAGGCCUAACACAUGCAAGUCGAACGGCAGCACAGGAGAGCUUGCUCUCUGGGUGGCGAGUGGCGGACGGGUGAGGAAUACGUCGGAAUCUGCCUAUUUGUGGGGGAUAACGUAGGGAAACUUACGCUAAUACCGCAUACGACCUACGGGUGAAAGCGGUGGACCUUCGGGCUUCGCGCAGAUAGAUGAGCCGACGUCGGAUUAGCUAGUUGGCGGGGUAAAGGCCCACCAAGGCGACGAUCCGUAGCUGGUCUGAGAGGAUGAUCAGCCACACUGGAACUGAGACACGGUCCAGACUCCUACGGGAGGCAGCAGUGGGGAAUAUUGGACAAUGGGCGCAAGCCUGAUCCAGCCAUGCCGCGUGUGUGAAGAAGGCCUUCGGGUUGUAAAGCACUUUUGUCCGGAAAGAAAAGCACUGGGUUAAUACCCUGGUGUCAUGACGGUACCGGAAGAAUAAGCACCGGCUAACUUCGUGCCAGCAGCCGCGGUAAUACGAAGGGUGCAAGCGUUACUCGGAAUUACUGGGCGUAAAGCGUGCGUAGGCGGUUUGUUAAGUCUGAUGUGAAAGCCCUGGGCUCAACCUGGGAAUGGCAUUGGAUACUGGCAACCUAGAAUGUGGUAGAGGGUGGCGGAAUUCCCGGUGUAGCAGUGAAAUGCGUAGAUAUCGGGAGGAACAUCCGUGGCGAAGGCGGCCACCUGGACCAACAUUGACGCUGAGGCACGAAAGCGUGGGGGAGCAAACAGGAUUAGAUACCCUGGUAGUCC
rnacentral:rRNA from 1 species